UAAGGAAUAUUGGACAAUGGGCGAAAGCCUGAUCCAGCCAUGCCGCGUGAGUGAAGAAGGCCUUCGGGUUGUAAAGCUCUUUUAGUCGGAAAGAAAGAGUUGCAAUGAAUAAUUGUGAUUUAUGACGGUACCGACAGAAAAAGCGCCGGCUAACUACGUGCCAGCAGCCGCGGUAAUACGUAGGGUGCGAGCGUUAAUCGGAAUUACUGGGCGUAAAGGGUGCGCAGGCGGUCUUGCAAGUCAGAUGUGAAAGCCCCGGGCUUAACCUGGGAAUUGCGUUUGAAACUACAAGACUAGAGUGCAGCAGAGGGGAGUGGAAUUCCAUGUGUAGCAGUGAAAUGCGUAGAGAUGUGGAAGAACACCGAUGGCGAAGGCAGCUCCCUGGGUUGACACUGACGCUCAUGCACGAAAGCGUGGGGAGCAAACA
rnacentral:rRNA from 1 species